GGGUCAGGAGGUGGGUCGUGCCACCGGUACGUACUGGUCUCACUGAUUCCUCCUUCCUGAAGAACCGUAAUGCCAUUAAUUUGGUGUUGCGGGGAAACAGGACUGUUACUUUGAAAAAAUUAGAGUGUUUAAAGCAAGCUAACGCUUGAAUACAUUAGCAUGGAAUAAUGAAAUAGGACGAUCGAUCCUAUUUUGUUGGUUUCUAGGAUUGACGUA
rnacentral:rRNA from 1 species